rnacentral:tRNA from 1 species
GCGGCCGCAGUCUAGUCUGGUAGGACGCGGGCCUUCCGAGCCCGUUGCCCGGGUUCAAAUCCCGGCGGCCGCACCA